UUUUUUUUUUUGGUUUUUUUUUUGUUUUUUUUUUCCAGGUGGGAUUUAAUUUUUCUGCUGACUUUAGUCAGACUGAGAAUUUGGGAACAGCAUAGGUAAGGAAGAGCCCAGGGUUGUUCAAAACCCAGGUAUACUCAGGCCAAGGCAUUGGUUUGUCGCAGUUUCCUGUAACAUGUUAAUGUUAAGUUGGGAGGACUCAGAGACAACAAAUCCUUGAAAACUGCAAUCCUCUUCAAUGUAGGCUGCUUACUGUGUGCACAUAAGAACUAAAGGGCCUUCCUUAGCAAAUGAGACUGGACCUUGCCCUGAGAAGUUGCUCAAGUCAUGGGUAACUGAGAAUCAACAUCAUCUGACUCCUCCAGACACACACAAUUGGAAACAACCUAGACUCUAAGACUCGGUUCUGUGUAAGCGGAAAUGCAAUCCGUAAGGUCUUUUUACAUUUAUUUAUUUAUUUAUUUAUUUAUUUAUUUAUUUAUUUAUUUAUAUCCCACAUAUUGCCCCUCUCUCAGUUCCCCUAUACUUCUAAGAGGGAAGCUCCUGCCUCUCUAACCCCUACCUUGGUGCAUCACAUCUCUGCAAGAUUAGGCACACCCUCUCCCAUUGAAGCCAGCCCUCUGCUACAUAUAUGUUAGGGGCCUUGAACCAGCCCACAUAUGGUCUUUAGUUGAUAGCUCAGUCUCUGGGAACUCCCAGGGGUCCAGGUUAGUUGGCAUGUUGGUCUCCCUGUGAGGCUGCCAUGACCUUCAGGGCCCUCAAACCUUCCCAUAACUCUUCCACAAAGGUUCCCAACCUCUGUCCAAUGUUUGUAGGUAUCCGCAUCUGUCUCAGUCAGCUACUGCCUCUCAGAUGGCUGCUGUGCUAGGCUCCUGUCUGCAACCACAGCACAACAUCAUUAACAGUGUGAGAGAUUGGUGCCUGCCCAUUGGAUGGAUCUCAAAAUGGCCUGGUCACUGGUCAUCCAUUCCUUCAGUCUCUGCUCCAUUUUUGUCUAUGCGUUUCCAAUCUGUAAGUUUGAAGAAGGCAUCUGAGUUGGCCCUGAGUCAUUUUCUACGUUGGAAUCACUGUUGAGACCUUGAUGGCAGUACUUGACCUCCCCACCCCCUUCUUCCUCUGGAGUUGACAUGGAUUUCUCAGUGAGACACAACUAGGACCCAGGGUACAGUUUGACUGUGGUUGUCUCUCACUCCUUCUUCUGAGUCUCUGUCCAUCUCUUUCUCCAGCUCCACAGCUGGGUUCUGAUUCUUUCUUCCUUAUAUAAGCCACUGUUGCCUUCCUCUUGCUGCUUUGUGAUGGUUAUUUUUUCACACUGAUCUUUAAUUCCUAGGCAGUUUUAAGCCCUAGGAAAAUGAAAAGUGGAUCUCCCAUCAAAGAGCAUUAUGGUAAAUACUUGACAUUUGUUUCCACUGCUCUAUGAAUUGAAGAUACAUUAUGGAAUUAGGUAGGUUUUUUUUUUCCCAAAAGAGGUAUUCAUUUUCAAAAUCUUGCUUUCAGAAAAGCAAAGCAUAAUAUUUAUAAUCUGUAGUUGAGAAAUUAAUAAGAGAGUGUCUUGGGGAUUUUGUAGCCCUCUGGUAGAAUGUCAAGAGAAUCUGUAACAGAAACCCUUGGUUAUCUGGAUUUAAAUCAUUUUCACUAUGGCUGAAUAAUUACUGUUGUAUUUUUUUCUAAAAUUUUUUUGAGGGCAACCGUUUUGUUCACUAUAAACACACUUAACAUUUGAGUCUUCCACUGUUACAAAUGGCAUUUUCCAAAUAGAGGAAGUGGAUUAAGCACACCGUAUCUUCGAAAAUUUGCCCAUACGCCCAAUUUUUGUUAGGAUUUUAUUAUGUGAUUAAUCACAGUAAUUUAAAACUAAAGGGGGGAAUUUAUGAGCUAUGAAUACAGAAAGAUUGCAAGGUUUUUGCAGUACAGGUUUUGUGCAUAAGUUAUGUAAAUGAGCAGUAAUAAGCCUUUGUAUAAAAGCAAUUGGAACAGAAGAAAAAGCGAUGAGUUGGAUUGAGAGAUGAGUGAGGCUCAAGGCUCCGUUCUGUAGCCUUGUGGAUACACCCAAUCCUGCUUUCUCUCUAAAGGAUUCAUUUCACUUCCUGACUCGAGGGCCCGAAUCAUCAGGUAGCACUGCACAUCAUCGUCUGGGUUUUUCCUUACACAAGCAUACAUGCAUACACACACAUGUACAUGCUUCCUAUAGCAUCUCAAGCAUUGGGAUGAGCUGUGGGUGUGACUUAGCUUCUAUGCCUGAGGUUAUGGCAUCAAACCUGAAUUACCUCUUUCCUAAUUUCACAGAUAGAAAAAUAGCUUUCAACCGUAAAUCCUGGUAAAGGUUGUUUUGUGUUGUUGUUUCUUAAUUUCCUUACAGUGUAGAAGGUUUUCUCUUCUCUUUAAUUUUAUAGGAAGCAUAUUGUGGCUUUUUAUUUUUAUUUGUUUCUUAAAUACCAAACUCCGAAGCUUUGGUUUCAUUAUUAAGUAAAAUAAAGAUGAUUUGAAUGCAAGCACUAUAAUGCGGUCACAGUUAGCCUGGUUAACCUGAAUAACUUUGCCAGGUUAUUCAGAAUGAGAAUAAAUAAAAUGUAUGAAUUGUUUAUUAGUAGACACUUUGAUUCAAGCUGUUUGGGUGGUAGUUGACCAUAGGUAACAGGCAACACAGGAGAAGGGAGAUUGCUGAAGAAGGCACAGGGCAUAGCUGGAAAGUUUUUGUUAACAUCAGUAAAGCACAACUUAAUAUAAUAUAAAACUUUCAGUAUAUUUUAUGGAUUAAUGGUAUAGUGAUUUUUGAGACAUUAAAAAGGAUGAAAAGUCAUGCUUUAGGGAUAUGAGAGAAAAUGUAGAUUGGUAAUUACUCAAAUGUAAUUUAAAUGAAUUAUAAAACUGUACUGGACAUUACUUGGUAGUAGAAUUGUUUUACUCUUUGUAUUCAUAGUUCUGGCUGGCAUCCAAAGACUGUUGAGUGAAUGAGAAACUGUUACUAGGAUCUCACCCCAAACCACACAUUGCAUCCAGAGUAGAACUGUUAAGUAGGGUUCAUCUUGUUUUGAAAGUCAUCUACUUAAUACUUUCAUCUAAUGUGGUUAGCAUGUUGUUACCAUCUAUUGAAUAGCUUUUGGUUAAUACUUUAGGCCAUAUAUGAUUAAUUAAAUGGCCAAAUGGUAAUUUAUUAUCAAGCCUGCCAUUUUAAAAUGAGAAAAACAUUCUUUAUUAACAGAUAAAAACCACAUUUUCCUAAAUAAGAAGACAACGUUUAGUGUUUUUAGAAUUCCAUAUCUUGAGAAUGGAGAGAUUUCCCAGUGGUUAAGAGAACUGUAUGCUCUUGCAGAGCACUCAGGUUUGUUGUCAACAUCCACAUAGCAGCUCACAACCAUCUGUAACUCUGGUUCCUAGAGAUUUGACACCAUCUUUUGGCCUCUCAUGUAUCAGGCCUGCAUGUGUCACAUAGAUAUACAUACAUACAUAGAUAAAAACACUCAUAC
rnacentral:lncRNA from 1 species